rnacentral:sRNA from 1 species
UAGCUGAGGAUCCUCUGGUCAGAGAUUGU